rnacentral:rRNA from 1 species
AUACGUAGGGUGCAAGCGUUAAUCGGAAUUACUGGGCGUAAAGCGUGCGCAGGCGGUUUUGUAAGGCAGUGGUGAAAUCCCCGGGGUCAACCUGGGGACUGCCCCUGAGACUGCAAGGCUGGAGGGCGGCAGCGGGGGAAGGCAGUCCCUGUGGAGCAGUGCACUGCGUAGAUAUGAGGAGGAACACCGAUGGCGAAGGCAAUCCCCUGGGCCUGCACUGACGCUCAUGCACGAAAGCGUGGGGAGCAAACAGGAUUAGAUACCCUGGUAGUCCACGCCCUAAACGAUGUCAACUGGUUGUUGGGGAUUUAUUUUCUCAGUAACGAAGCUAACGCGUGGAGUUGACCGCCUGGGGAGUACGGCCGCAAGGUUAAAACUCAAAGGAAUUGACGGGG